AGAGUUUGAUCAUGGCUCAGGAUGAACGCUGGCGGCGUGCUUAACACAUGCAAGGUCGAACGAAGAUGCCGGAGUGCUUGCACUUUGGCAGACUGAGUGGCGGACGGGUGAGUAACGCGUGGGUAACCUGCCUUAUACAGGGGGAUAACACUGAGAAAUUGGUACUAAUACCCCAUAAUAUCAUAGAAGGCAUCUUUUAUGGUUGAAAAUUCCGAUGGUUAGAGAUGGGCAUGCGUUGUAUUAGCUAGUUGGUGGGGUAACGGCUCACCAAGGCGACGAUACAUAGGGGGACUGAGAGGUUAACCCCCCACACUGGUACUGAGACACGGACCAGACUCCUACGGGAGGCAGCA
rnacentral:rRNA from 1 species